rnacentral:tRNA from 1 species
CAGAGUGUAGCUAUAACAGAUAAAGCAUCUCCCUUACACUGAGAAGUUAUCCGUGCAACUCGGAUCACCCUGA